UGUGAAGCUCUGGAGAAGGGUUUUCUACAAGAAGAGAACUGCAGGUAUGAAGGCCCUGGGGGACUGCCGGUUCGCAGCGUGGAUUUUAACCGAGGCACGGACAACAUCACCGUGAGGCAGGGGGACACAGCCAUCCUCAGGUGCGUUGUAGAAGAUAAGAACUCGAAGGUGGCCUGGUUGAACCGUUCUGGCAUCAUUUUUGCUGGGCAUGACAAGUGGUCUCUGGACCCUCGGGUUGAGCUGGAGAAACGCCAUUCUCUGGAAUACAGCCUCCGAAUCCAGAAGGUGGAUGUCUAUGAUGAGGGUUCCUAUACUUGCUCAGUUCAGACACAGCAUGAGCCCAAGACCUCCCAAGUUUACUUGAUCG